UAAGAAGUGUAACAAUCUUACGGUAGAUGUCGCUAGGGUCCCCUAGACCCAUAUGGUGGAAAGAUUUGCUGGCUAUGGAUGAGGUCUUGGUGGCUCAGAUGGCAGUGCGCUGGAGUAUCGAUCCAGAGGCCGUGAGUUCAAGUCUCACCCAAGACAGUAAUUUUUCCACUUUUAAA